GGGCCUGUAGCUCAAUUGGUUAGAGCUGGCCGCUCAUAACGGCUAGGUUGGGGGUUCGAGUCCCUCCGGGCCCACCA
rnacentral:tRNA from 1 species